CCUACGGGAGUCUGCAGUGAGGAAUAUUGGUCAAUGGGCGCGAGCCUGAACCAGCCAAGUCGCGUGAGGGAAAACGGUCCUAUGGAUUGUAAACCUCUUUUGUCGGGGAGCAAAAGACGCCACGCGUGGCGUUCCGAGAGUACCCGACGAAAAAGCAUCGGCUAACGCCGUGCCAGCAGCCGCGGUAAUACGGAGGAUGCGAGCGUUAUACGGAUGUAUUGGGUUUAAAGGGUGCGCAGGCGGAAGCUCAAGUCAGCGGUAAAAUUGAGAGGCUCAACCUCUUCGAGCCGUUGAAACUGGUUUUCUUGAGUGAGCGAGAAGUAUGCUGAAUGCGUGGUGUAGCGGUGAAAUGCAUAGAUAUUACGCAGAACUCCGAUUGCGAAGGCAGCAUACCGGCGCUCAACUGACGCUCAUGCACGAAAGUGUGGGUAUCGAACAGGAUUAGAUACCCCAGUAGUC
rnacentral:rRNA from 1 species